rnacentral:ncRNA from 1 species
CUUUGAUCGAAAUAAUUGAAGUAGAUCAAGGCGGAAGGAG